rnacentral:lncRNA from 1 species
GGUAUUUAUAUAUUGUUAACUAUUGUCUUCUUAUUUGUUGAUGCACAGUACAACCUAACGUCUAUAUUUUUCAGAAAUUUGAUAUGAUGAUUUUUAUUUGGUAAUUUCAGAUACUAAUUUUAUGACUUCUUUUUGGUUGAUCCAGAUUAGCUAGAGUUGCGAAAAUUGAAGUGGGAAGCAAGACAUGCGGUGUUUGUUAUUUUUUUGCUACAUUUUGAACAAGUAUUUUUUGUUAGAACUUAUGUUUGAAAUUUAAUUUGAAUUCUGAUAUUGUAAUUUGAGAGUUGAGACUAUUUGUUAUACAAAUUAUUAAUGCUUUUUGGUUACUAAUAUUUUUUAAUAUUUCAAUUCAUUGUAAUAUUUAGUUGUUAAUCAAGUAUUUUAAUAUUAAUUUAAUUGCCGCUAUAAGCUUUAUUAAUCAAUCAUUUAAUAUAUUUUUUGCGGAAAUUAUAAUUAAUUGUAGCGGCAUUUAUAAUAGUUGUUAUUGUAUAUUAUUUAGCGUUCAUUGUAGUAUUUAGUUGUUAAUUAAAUAUUUUAAUAUUAAUUUAAUUGCCGCUAUAAGCUUUAUUAAUCAAUCAUUUAAUAUGUUUUUUGCGGAAAUUAUAAUUAAUUGUAGCGGUAUUUAUAAUAGUUGUUAUUGUAUAUUAUUUAGUGGCAUUUAUAAUAGUUGUUAUUGCAUACUAUUUAGCGGCAUUUAUAAUAGUCGUUAUUGUAUAAUAUUUAGCGGCAUUUAUUUGGAUUUUUACCAACCGCCGGAAUAAAUGCCGCUAAAACUUUUAGCGACCCUGUCAAUAGCGGCAAUUGUUAAAAUUGCCACAAAAUAUUUUAGUGGCAAUUGUAAUU